rnacentral:rRNA from 1 species
AGGGUUUGAUCAUGGCUCAGGACGAACGCUGGCGGCAGGCCUCAUACAUGCAAGUCGAGCGAGAAGCAGCCCUCGGGCUGUGGACAGCGGCGCACGGGUGAGUAACAGGUGGGAAUUUGCCUUGAAGUGGGGGACAACCAUUGGAAACGAUGGCUAAUACCGCAUACGCCCUACGGGGGAAAGAUUUAUCGCUUCAAGAUAAGCCCGCCUUAGAUUAGGUAGUUGGUGGGGUAAUGGCCUACCAAGCCCGCGAUCUAUAGCUGGUCUGAGAGGACGACCAGCCACACUGGAACUGAGACACGGUCCAGACUCCUACGGGAGGCAGCAGUAGGGAAUAUUGCACAAUGGGGGAAACCCUGAUGCAGCCAUGCCGCGUGAGUGAAGAAGGCCUUCGGGUUGUAAAGCUCUUUCAACUGUGAAGAUGAUGACGGUAACAGUAGAAGAAGCUCCGGCUAACUUCGUGCCAGCAGCCGCGGUAAUACGAAGGGAGCUAGCGUUGUUCGGAUUUACUGGGCGUAAAGCGCACGCAGGCGGUUUUGUAAGUCAGAGGUGAAAUCCCGGGGCUCAACCCCGGAACUGCCUUUGAUACUGCAAAACUAGAGUAUAGGAGAGGACAGUGGAACUCCCAGUGUAGAGGUGAAAUUCGUAGAUAUUGGGAAGAACACCAGUGGCGAAGGCGACUGUCUGGAAUAUUACUGACGCUCAUGUGCGAAAGCGUGGGGAGCAAACAGGAUUAGAUACCCUGGUAGUCCACGCUGUAAACGAUGUGUG